rnacentral:rRNA from 1 species
CGGAUAAGUCUUUACGGAGAAAGCUUUAUGCACCAUUGGAUGAGCCUGCCUUGAUUAGUUUGUUGGUGGGGUAAUGGCCUACCAAGACUGUGAUCAAUAGCUGAUUUGAGAGGAUGAUCAGCCACAUUGGGACUGAGACACGGCCCAAACUCCUACGGGAGGCAGCAGUGGGGAAUCUUGCACAAUGGAGGAAACUCUGAUGCAGCGAUGCCGCGUGAGUGAAGAAGGC